GUUCCAGUAGCGCAAUGGAUAGCGCGUUGGAAUUCUAAACCAAAGGUUGUGGGUUCGAAUCACACCUGGGAUG